rnacentral:rRNA from 1 species
CUGCUGCCUCCCGUAGGAGUUUGGGCCGUGUCUCAGUCCCAAUGUGGCCGUUCACCCUCUCAGGCCGGCUACUGAUCGUUGCCUUGGUAGGCCAUUACCCCACCAACUAGCUAAUCAGACGCGGAACCAUCGUAUACCACCAGAGUUUUUCACACCGCUUCAUGCGAAGCUGUGCGCUUAUGCGGUAUUAGCACCUAUUUCUAAGUGUUAUCCCCCAGUAUACGGCAGGUUUC